rnacentral:rRNA from 1 species
UACGUAGGCAGCGAGCGUUGUUCGGAGUUACUGGGCGUAAAGGGUGUGUAGGCGGUUGUUUAAGUUUGGUGUGAAAUCUCCCGGCUCAACUGGGAGGGUGCGCCGAAUACUGAAUGACUUCGAGUGCGGGAGAGGAAAGUGGAAUUCCUGGUGUAGCGGUGAAAUGCGUAGAUAUCUGGAGGAACACCGGUGGCGAAGGCGGCAUCCUGGACCGGUAUUGACGCUGAUGCGCGAAAGCCAGGGGAGCAAACGGG